UCCAAAUAAUUGUAGACUCGAAGGGGGAGAGACAAAGAGGACUACUCAUGGCGCCAUCUUGGAUCUGAGCUCUCCUUGGCCUUGUUUUUUAGUAUCCCAAGAAAUGAUGAGGCUCUCCUGCACUUGACCAUGAGAACCAAACAUGCGAAAACCAAAAUGGCACUUCACAUGCUGCACUGGAUGAGUCUCUUAGGUACCACAAGGCCUAGUGUUGCCAGUUGGUGCACCCUCUUCUUCGUGUCAACUAUCUGAGGGGCUGUGUUGCUGUGAAGGCUUCCUGUGAGUGUGGAAUUCGAGACAGACAUUGAUGGCGUUUAGAAAUAAUUCAUCCGGGCCUUAGUGAGGCCUAAAAAACGCACCUCAGAGCAGUGAGGCCCUCGGCUAUUGCGCAUGUUUUUGCUGCGCUCGUUUCCAUUCUUCUCUGGCAGUGACACGUGGCCCUGUGCUGGGUGUGGUGGUCAGUCACGGAGGGUUUUUGUGAGGGAUCCCUGGAGUAGUUCUCAUCAUGGCGCCUGGGCCCUUCCAGGUAAGUGCUCCUUGUAGACAUGCUUUUCCUUUGGUCACCAGACUGUCCCCUAAAGUAGGGGAAGCAAGCAGGCUUGGUAUGUAAAGCUGGUUUGUGCCACCUGGGCAUGAUAUCGAAGCCGCAUUCAGGUGCUAGGGCUGGUUUGGAAGCUAAGUGGGCAGUUGGCUUUUAGCUGUGUUUCUCAGAAGGGCUGGUUGGUUAUAUUUGCCUAGGAAGCCCCCAUCCUGGGAUGUCUGGCCACCUUGUGUUGUGGGCCCCACCUCAUUGCUUUGUAUGGUGUCAGGCUGCCAGGCCCGUUUGCCUGGCCUCUCCCUGAGAGCUGGGCUGUACCCCACAGUCCCUAUAAGCUGGGGGGCCUGAUGCUGCGCUCAGCCCUGUUGGGACCUGCUGACCGAAGUCCUGUCUCUCAUCUAGCCAACUGAGGACUCAGGGCCGCUGGAACAAUGUCCCCUACUCCAUGCCACUCCCACCCCUGAAUGCUGCCUGGCGUGGUGAGAAAUUCUUUGGCUAGUGGACUCCCUGCUCCAUCUUCCCUGUGGAGGGUGGACAAGUGGCAGCACGAAAACUGUUUCAUCCAGAUGCUGUCAACCUGUGUCACUGUGGAGGGACCAAAAGGAAAAAAACCCGCCUUUCCUCAGCCUGGAACCAGAAAAGCGGAUGGUUCUUGACCAACAACACAGAGGGAGCAGAUGCAGAUCGGCUCCCCAGUGCCGUUGCCGUCAACACUGCUUCCACAGGUUGUGUAUAUUUUGCAUCAAACGUCAACUUUGAAGGCAGGAAUGGAAUUUUGACUUUGUGUUCUUAAGGCCAAAAGGGAGAUUCAGGAUAAACACAACCUCUGCUCCCAGGGAAAACAUGUCAGAAACAGCUAUGGCUGUGACCCAGGACAGCGGCACUGAGCAAUUUUCAUGAAGGAUUUUUUAACAAUUGAAUUUUUUAACAAUUGAACUUUGCUCAGUGUCCCAAUCCCACUCUAUCCUUAAGCCAGCUUAAAACCAGAUCACCCAACAGUGCCCUUCACACAGCAUUCAAUAAAUGUUGAUUGGUGAUAAAAAUUGUGAAAUAAUGACAAAAGAAGUAAUUAGAAAAAAAUUACCUCUGACCUGUUUUCUUAACGUAUCUCUAUUGAUCAGGACUAGGUUCAGCUAUAGGUAACUGAAAGCCCCAAAAUAUUUUUAUUUCUCUCUCUUGUAAAAGUCUAGAUAGGCAGUCCAGGCUGCUGUGGUGGCUCCACAAUGACGAGAGACCUGAUUCUGUCUAUCUUGUUUUUCCACCAUUCUCUUAAUUAAUAUCUUUUAUCUCAUCAUCCGGAGUGGCUACUCCAGCUCCAACCAUCACAUCCACAUUCCAACCAUCAGGAGAGAAGGAAAAGUAAGAAAAAGGAUUACCCUGCCACUUUAAAGAACACCACUUCUGCUUUCAUCCUGUUGGCCAUGGUUUUGGUCAUGUGGCCACACCUACCAUAGUAAGGCUGAGAAAGAUAGACUAUUCUGUGUAAUGAUAACUCACAGCCAGGAGUUCUGGUACUGAGGAAAACAGAAAGGCGUGUGAGGAGACUAAGUGGAUUCUGCCACAGUGUCAUGGAAUAAUCAAGCGUGAAGUCUCCCUGCUAAGUUCUCCCAGGAGGUGAAAACUAGGGAGUGAUCAUCCUUUUUGGGGCUGGAUCUGGGACCCAGUACACACUUUGGUGACUAUCUUCUCUCUCACUGGGUACAGCCACGACACAGUGGAACCACUUGUUUUCCUGACCCGUUGAGUCACUUUUAUGCUUGAGGUACAUUCAGUCAAAACAUGGCCCAGUACAAAAAUAUGAGAGGGAAUUUCUCCCUAAAAGCUCAACUUUAUUUUCUAUCCUAAAUUUUUUUCCUUGGGAAUUUAUUUUUACUUAGUAAUAAUUUGUUUCAAAUCCUACACACUAUUUCCAUCCACUGGCAGUCCACACAUGCAGUAGAACGUGACCGGAACAUUUUACCUCAUGCAUUUCUAUAAACUCACAAAAGAAACUGGAAAGGAAAACAAUAUCCCUUUGAUUCAGUGUGUAUUCAUACCUGCCCCAGAUCACUUUUGCUGGUGAUUUAGGUUGAUAAAUUUUGUAUCGAUACAGAAAAAAUAAUUUGUUUCCGUUCAUGUCUAAGAAUUGUCCAUCGUACAAAAUGGUUUCAUCCUUUUUCUGCAGGAGAGCAGCCAAAAAGUUUCUGGCAAAUACUUAGGGCUUUCAAUGAUGUGAAAGCACUGUCACCUCUCCUCUGAGCAGCCUUCUAGAAAAUUGUCCCCCUGGGAAGGAGGCUGGCUCUCCCAGGCUGUGCAUUCUGAACCCCAGGACUUUGUUGUAACUAAAGACCCUGUGGUGCGCUGCCCCCUCGUGGGAAAAUGUGGGAACUGCAGAUCAUUCAUCCCAGAAGAAAACCAGUUUUACCUUUCCAAUGCAACUGGAAAAAUCUUCACUGUUCAGGCACACAAGUCAAACUGGACCUCAAGAAAGACAUUAUUUUCCAGAAAUUUCUUCCCAAAAUGUGUGUUUAUGAAAAGAAACAUUUUGUUUGUGAUAACACUGCGUAGCACGGCUAUGCUUGUUUUACACAACGGGUUUAUUAGUCAGAAGUUGUAUAAUUAGCUUUGUUCUAGACUCAAUCUUAUUUAUAGUACACCAGGAGAGCUGACUUCCAAGAGGAAACAUUUGGCUUUUUAUAAAGUGAGAAAUUGUUUUGUAAGGUCAAAAAUUAUAUAUGCCACCAAUUCCUUCUGUAAGUUCUGGUUUUAAUAUGAAGUGUAUUCUCAAAGUAAGGACUUUUUAUACCAGCACUUAUCUUCCUGCAGAAAUUCUAGGCUGCCUCCCCACCUUCCUUGCUCCGGAUUUGCAUGGGAUGUAGUCAUGGUUUUUGAAACCUAUUUCUGCAGGAACGAGCCAAUGAGCAGGAGCCCUCCUCUGCCCACAUUUGGCCGCACGGUGGACCACACGGCUAAAACGAGAAACCCCAGAUAAACAAUGUGGUCAAAGAGACGCCCAAUUCCCCCUCACACAGGAGCCUGAGGAUACUGACACUUCCUCUUCCUCAUUUUAAGCCUUCAAGUUUUUUUCCUUAUAAGAAUGCUCCCUGGAGAGGCCUUCGAGUCCGCUGCACCCUGUGUCUCCCUAUGGAGACAGACAGGGUGCUGCGUCUCCUGACCCCCUUGUCUAGUGCCCUUCCCCCUGCACCUCCCGAGGAGGCCACUCCAGCUCCAUCCCCCUGAGAAGCGGGGCACCUCUCACUCUCCUGAGCCAGAAACUGAGAUCAGGUGAGCAAACCACACCACAGGCAGAGGUGAUAAGGGUAAGCAAAUAACGACUGACUGGGGAGGAACAGAAGCAGAGGUUUGGCCCUCGCCACCCUGCAGAUAAACAAGCGUUUGAUCCGGGCUGCGCACAUCCAUAACGUUCACAGUCAGAGGGAGCCUGUGCUUGCAAUCGAUGCGUUUGGAACCCUACUGAGAGCUGGCCUGGUCCUCAUACCGACUGAACCAGGGCUCAGGAUCAAUGGAAGGGGAAACCCUCUUACGCUCAUUGCAGGGGUCCCUGAACUCCUGGGAGAUUCAGGCUCAAGAGCCCUGAGAAGACAAACCCAGAAGUCUCGGCAGGGGAGUCCUGGAGGCUGCAGUUUCUACUCACCCACUAAGGGCCAUUGGGACAUGCUGUGGAUUUUCCAAAUCGGCUCAGUAAAGCUUCUUAGAAGAAACAUCAGAAGCCUCAUUCUCUUUCUCCCUGUUUGGGCUAUUGAAGCUGAGGAAGGCAGUAAAGAGUGAAUCCAGAGGGAAAACCAUUAGCCUCUGUCUAGCGAGACUUGGCCAGGAGCACUUUUAUAAAGAUAAUAUUAUUGACAGUAAGAGCUGCCAAAAUUUAUUGAACUCUUACUAUGUGGCAGGCACUCUACUGGGUGUUUGUCCUGCACUAUAUUCUUCAAUCAAAAUUUCAACCGCAAAACUUUGAGGUCAGUACUGUUGUUGACAAUCACAAUUGAGGAACAGGCUUCAGGAGGUUGAGAGUUGCCCCAAUUCCCACAGCCAGUAAGCAGGAGAUACAGAAGUAGAAACAUGGUUUGUCCAUCUCUGGAACCCAAACUCUUAACCUCAUCUUUUUUACAUAUAGCUGGAAGAUGCCUGAUGCAUUUUUUCCCAUCCAUUUCACGACUUUCACUUAAGGAUGUAAGUCCUAUUAAAAAGUGUUAUCACAGUGAAUGGAGACUUUGGGAGGGAUUCUGAUGAAAUCAGGAGAGCAAGGGAGCACUGCAAGAGGAGGAAGGGAGGAAGAAAACGAACCCUCAUUGGUGGCCUGGCAUGGACUGGGCACUGGUGCCAUCCAUCAUCACCACAGCCCCAUUAUUGUCUCCUGCUGCAGCAGGUGGCAGGCAGCCGCCCAUGUCCACUCUCUCUUCAAUAACCUGAGCACAAUAAAGAUCACAUUUGCCAGCCUCCCUUUUAGCUAGGCGUGGCCACCAUGGACCGUGAGGAUGGGCCUCGCCUCCCGGGAUGCUGGAAACUAGAGCAUAAGCUGCCUGGGGCCUGGUGAUUCGGGAGCCGCCAGACCUGCCCAAGGCUGUUUACCUUGAUUGUUUCUAGCUGAUAGAAAAAUGAACCUGAUUCUUGUUUAAGCUAAUAACUUGGGAUUUUCUCUUGUAUGCAUGGAUAUCUACUCCUAACUACUCUCUUGUUUUUUUCUUUUCAUAGGAAAACAGGCUCAAAAAAGAACCCCAACCAUCUUAUUGCCGUACACCUGGUCCACCUCACUCACUGACAUUGCCUGCCUGGCCCUGGCUGACACUUGUGUUUGUGACCCCUGGUCUUAAGGAUGCUAUUCAGAGCUCUCGUGCCUGCCUUUCCUGUAUAAGCCCCAGACAGUCAAAGUGCCACCAGGCAGGUGGAGGAGGAGACAAAUGUACAUAUGAAAGUUUGCAACGCUUCAUGCUUGAAGACUUGAGAAAAACUGAGUAAAUUCAAUAUGACCGACUUCAUAGUCCCUGACUCCACAUGCGUUUGCUUGCUGUGAAGAGAAAAGCAUGUGAGGAAAAUAUGUUGCCACUGAAGGAAUGGAUCUGUCUCAAGUGUAAUUGCUCCUUUUCGUCCAUCCCUUGUGUCUCACCAGAGUAGAUUGCUAAAGAGGCUGGCCCUGCAGCACGAAGCCCCCUCAGCCACAGCCCUUGGGAUGGGCGGGUCUCCAGGCCUCCUCGCCCUCCAUCCCAGGCACACCAGCAGCAGCUCGGCCGACACCAACGCCUGGGGUCUCUUCUCGAUUCCCUGACACCCCUUGAGCUUCUCACAAGGGUUGAGGCCCUAGGCUCUUGGCAGCUGAAACAAAACAAAGAAAUCCACUUAGCUCUGCUAUCAGUGUGCUAACAUCUGUCCUCAGCGAGCAGCCGGACCCUCCAUUUCCCAUCAUGUGGAUGCUGGAGCCACUGGGCUCAGACCCCUGGGUCAGUGGUCCUGGAGAAGUUGAGACCAAACUCCAGGUCCAGAAGGGAACAGCAGAUUCGGUCCGCAGCCCAAAGCCGCUUCUGUUUCCCGAGAUGCGGCGAGGAAGCAACCUCUCACCUCAGACUUUCUGGAGUAAUCCUGUUUUGAACAUGCUGAUUUUGUGGUCUGUAAAAGUUCUUCUGUCCUUAUUAGAGCACAUGUUCUAGCUGU